UGGGGAAUAUUGCACAAUGGGCGAAAGCCUGAUGCAGCAACGCCGCGUGAAGGAAGAAGGUCUUCGGAUCGUAAACUUCUGUCCUUGGGGAAGAUAAUGACGGUACCCUUGGAGGAAGCCCCGGCUAACUACGUGCCAGCAGCCGCGGUAAUACGUAGGGGCAAGCGUUAUCCGGAAUUAUUGGGCGUAAAGAGUGCGUAGGUGGUAACCUAAGCAGGGGGUGAAAGGCAAAGGCUUAACCAUUGUCAGCCCCCUGAACUGGGCUACUUGAGUGCAGGAGA
rnacentral:rRNA from 1 species